CAGUCGCCACGGUAAUCCGAAGGGGGCUAGCGUUGCUCGGAAUCACUGGGCGUAAAGGGUGCGUAGGCGGGUCUUUAAGUCAGGGGUGAAAUCCUGGAGCUCAACUCCAGAACUGCCUUUGAUACUGAAGAUCUUGAGUUCGGGAGAGGUGAGUGGAACUGCGAGUGUAGAGGUGAAAUUCGUAGAUAUUCGCAAGAACACCAGUGGCGAAGGCGGCUCACUGGCCCGAUACUGACGCUGAGGCACGAAAGCGUGGGGAGCAAACAGGAUUAGAUACCCGCGUGUCCCUGUCUCUUAUACA
rnacentral:rRNA from 1 species